AAUGUAUGACACUAUUGACUUUUUAUCUAACGUUUGACCAUUCGUCUUAUUCAAAAAAAUUAUAUAAUUAUCAUUUAUUUUAAUGUGACUUGAUUUAUCAUCAAAUGUUCUUUAAGCAUGAUUUAAAUAUUUUUAUAUUUGUACAAAAAUUUUGAAUAAAACGAAUGGUCAAACGUUAGUCGAAAAAUCAACGGCGUCAUACAUU
rfam:Oryza glumipatula chromosome 2, whole genome shotgun sequence.